rnacentral:lncRNA from 1 species
CAAAAUAAUAUCUGAGUCACCAGCUUCUGUGUCAUGAGUGUUUAAAGGACAUGGCUUGAUUUUUUGAAACAAGGGUUUUGAUUUCAAGCGGCUGUAUUUCAAUUCACAAAGACCAUCAGUUCAGAAAUUGGUUAAAAAUUCAAUUGUCUUUGCCUGUUUACAGCAUAUAUAGGUUUGAUUUUUAUGAGCUGCAAGCUUGAUUUGUUUUUAUUAGGUGCUUGAAAGUGAUCUCAGACCUAAUGGUCACGAUAC